GUGUCCCCUUUUUCUUUGUUUGCCUCAGAAAGCCCAUCACAAACAAUUCACCGCUCCACCUCACAAAUUUCGCCCGGAGGCUUGUUCCAACGGGGCAGCGUGGCGGCGACAUCGGCAGGUCACCGCUCCCAAAUGCGACUACAACAACAACCUCUUGCAGCUUAAUCCACACCCUCAAGGUGCCGCCAUGAAGAACGGCCACAAACGACGAUGGCAGCAGCGGCUUGGGGGCAUCAAAGUCGUGGAAUUCAUGCCGGAUUGACAAAUUUGUAACAUUUGUAUGCAAUGUGAGUUGUACAAUCUGCAGUUUUGUUGGUUUUAUCUUGUCUUAAGCCCAUCCAGACACACGUCACAAUCCUCCCUCGUAUGAAAACCCUACACCAGCAUUCUUUUCCACACAGAGGCCUGGAUAGAUAGAGAGAGAUAUGGAGAAAGACAGUUGCAGCUACAAUUUCACCUGCCAGCUGGGCGAUGGUGGUGUUAUCACGGGGCAGCGGCACUUGCGAGUUGAAGUGGGUUUACAGUGGGGAUUUUGCCGCUCAUCUCGAGUCUGUGGAGGGGCUGAUCUUGUAUGGCAAGUUCACACCACAUUUUCCAGGGAGACUAGCCGUGUAAUUGCCGCUAACACCGCAGUAAGACGACGAAGCACUCUUGAGACAGUUACAAAUGGCCUUACGGUCCGCAGUGGUUCUAGCCUGGUUCCAAAGUCCUUUAAUCCCAUUACAACACCUCGCUGGCGGAUUCCCACCGUUCCUUAGGUAACCAAGGCAUGGUGCUACAGCGCCCACAACUUGACCACAUGUCACCGCCUCUACCUCCUGCACAGUGACCGUUAGCAAAACCACUAGCAACGCCACCAUGCACAUUGCCUUAAUAAACAUCAUUGUCAUUGCUAGAA